AGACGUCAUGUUGUAUGACAACCUGAAAAGUGUGACAGAAAAGCUAUCAUUAAGGCAAAAUACAUGCGAGCAAUUUAUCUCCUCUGAUAAUAUAAAAGCAGUAGUGAUAAGUUGGCACAAAAAAGCUCACAAAAGCAAUGAAUAGGACACAUAAAUUUAAACCUUGAACAGGCAAGCUAACAAGAAGGGUUUCAGAUUUUGAAAACUAUUGGAGUCAAGCACCAAAAUUAAGAAGCAUAUGGACUUAUGGAUGUCAUCAAUAAAUAAAUAAAUAAAACAUACCGGAGUGAGUUCAUUUCAAG
rnacentral:misc_RNA from 1 species